rnacentral:misc_RNA from 1 species
AAUUCUCAACCUUGCAAGCUUGCUUGCGAGGCUUGGAUGUGAGGGUUUUUGCUGGCUUCCUUUAGUUGGAUGGUCUGCUCCCUUUAAAUUUAUUAGUGGGAUCCUUUGUGGAUGGUCACUUGGUGUGAUAAUUAUCUACGCCGUCUGACUCUGAAACAAGACUUGUGGGGACCUGCUUAUAACUGUCUCUUCGGAGACAAUCUUGACA